CCUACGGGAGGCAGCAGUGAGGAAUAUUGGUCAAUGGGCGCAAGCCUGAACCAGCCACGCAGCGUGAAGGAUGACUGCCCUACGGGUUGUAAACUCCUUUUAUAAGGGAGUAAAGUGCGGCACGUGUGCCUUUUUGUAUGUACUUUAUGAAUAAGGAUCGGCUAACUCCGUGCCAGCAGCCGCGGUAAUACGGAGGAUCCGAGCGUUAUCCGGAUUUAUUGGGUUUAAAGGGAGCGUAGAUGGGUGGUUAAGUCAGUGGUGAAAGUUUGCGGCUCAACCGCGAGAUUGCAUUUGAUACUGGCAGUCUUGAGUAAAGUUGAGGUAGGCGGAAUUCGUGGUGUAGCGGUGAAAUGCGUAGAUAUCACGAAGAACUCCGAUUGCGAAGGCAGCUUACUAAACUGCAACUGACAUUGAGGCUCGAAAGUGUGGGUAUCAAACAGGAUUAGAUACCCGGGUAGUC
rnacentral:rRNA from 1 species